rnacentral:lncRNA from 1 species
AGGAAUAAAUAUCCAAGACAGCCAGAAGCAGUUCCUUUCAAAUCCCACACACACGCAUCUCUCUCUCUCUCUCCCUCCUCCAUGUCUCUCUCUCACUCUCUCUCUCUCUGUCAUUUGACCAGCAGUGCUUCCUGCCACCGAGGACCUGUGACUCAACAGCCAGAAUACAGCAAUGUUCUUUUGCCCACCCUCUUGAAUAUUCAUAGAAAUAUGAAGACUGAAGCUCAGACCCAUCCAUCAUGAGUGCCAUGUUACAAGAGAAUUCCUGAGGCGAGCCAAUGGCCCGAUAAAUCUGCCGGAGCCUCUCUCUCAAUUUGUCUCUGUGGAAUGUCAGCUGGCAAGUGCCCAGACACUGAGAACCUCUUUUCACAAUGCGCCAAUCUAACAGACGAGAUCCCAUGUUGGAGCUACAGUACAAGGACUGGCGUGGAUAAAUUGCCACGUGCCUUAUCUAUGUCUCUUUAUGUCUGACUGUCUGAGUCUUGCUCUUCGCGAGGCCUCCGAAGGCCACUUCCUCUCAGACCUGACAGUGAACCUAGUCGGCUGAGCGGGCUGACAUUGACAAAAUGCAGGUGUCGCCAAAGAGGAACCUGUGAUGUGACACAGAUGCCGUGUCAAACCGUCUUACUCCAUAUGACCUGCAGUGUGAACAGAAAUUGCUCUGUUUGGUGUCGUUCAUCACUGUGUGGCUCAGUCUCCCACAUAGCUCGGUCCAGGUGGCGGAAUGGCAGAGUGGGAGAACAGACUAUGUUUGUGUGAAGAUGCAACAACUAUCUCUCUCUUUUUCUUUCUCUCUCAUUCCCUCCCUCCCUCCCCGCUCCCUCCCUCCCCGCUCCCUCUCCCUGCUUAAAUAGACUGCUGUAGCACUCUUUGUACUCUAUUCUAUUUAAAGGUUGUAGGUUAGCAAACAACAAGAUGCCUUCCCACCUGUACCCCUAAAUGAGUCAUGAAUUUGUCGAUUUAUUUAUGUAGUUUGCUGGAAAUAUGAAUUUAGAUAUACAAAUGUAGUUCUUUUAUCAGUAAAGCUUUAUCAAAAUGUUGAUAUUUAUUAAUGAUGCUGUAUACAAC